CUCCCCCGUCGGCGGCCCCGGCGAGAGGCGGUGGUACAGUCCGAGACCGCCCCCGGCUAUAAAUAGCGCCAGGCGCAUGGCUCUUCGGGAGGCGCUGAGAUUCCGGGCCCGGCGGCCGCGGGCAACGGGUGCCUGUUAGAAACGGGGAUGCUGGCCCCCUCUUUGCCUUUGGGGGCUUCUUUUUAUAAUAGCAGCAGGUGCAACUUUUGUAUUUUAAAAACAUUGAUUUUCAUUUUCGUGUGGACUAGAAAAAGCGAGCCGGCUUGGAGGGAGUCCGCCCAGCGAUCCGAGUGCGCAUUGAUCAGUGUCGAGAGAAAAAAGGCUACAUAAAUAUAUGUUAUGUGGAUAAAUCUAUGGACAAGAGCUCUCUCUCGCGCGCGCGCUCUUUCUCUCCGUCUCUCUCAGCUGUUUACCUCCUUGUACCCCCAACCUGCCAGAGCAGCCCAAAAUCUUCGCCCUCACGCACAGCCUCUACCGCCACCCGAGCCACCAGGGAGAUCGGGACUGGGGAACGGUUGGGCCGUGAUGCGCGUAGAGAUUCGGAUUCCGAACCUCUUCCCAAUCUGCCUGAGAAGGCUGGAGAUGGGAGUUUCCGUCCCGGACGGCCUCCUCUGCUCCGAAGCGCGGCCGCUAGUCGGGCGGGCGGCUGGCGGGAGGAAGGUAGCAGCCGGGCACCUCGGCCCGCUCGCCCACCGGGGAAGAAGGCAGGCUUUGGACGCGGUGACCGGUGAGCCAGCGCUAGGGACCGGCUUGAUUUUGCCCUCGUCUGCUUUACUGGUUCAGGCUGAAUUUUUUUUUUUUUCUUAAUCCACCACCAAAGAAAUAAAGCCCCCCGAAUCGUCACCCGGACCAGACUCGCGCGGCGUGCUCUGCCCCCACGGGCUUCAUUUGCAGCACCUCCCGCUUCCGAAGUGCGAGGCUGGGAGUCGCGGCCGCCAGCGAGAGCCAAAGGGUUCGGCAACCCGGCAUGAACUCUGCGGGGCUCCCUACCAGGCCCGCGGGAGCCAGAACCUCGGCUACGUGGGAUAGGGAGUGGCUGGCGCGGGUGCUGGGUCCAAGCAGCCCCACCUCUCGGGGCGAGAGCUGGUGGUGAACUUGGGUUGGAAGGGCAGAUUUUCAUUUUAGUGAUAUUUACCUGCACUCCAUCCUCUCCCACAUUUGCUUUUCCAGGGCAGCUUCUUCUCGGCUUCAGAAGCCGGGAAAAUUAAAAUAACGCGCCCGUUGCCCCAAGGGUUUCGGGGGCAGAGCUGCUGGCCUCACCCUGGCCGGGCCCCCACCGGCGCCUUUCGGGUGUUCUGGGUUUCUCUUUUCUUGCCAUCGGAUUACAUGACGUUACUAGACGAUAUAUUUAAAAUUUUAUUUAGAGAAAUGAGACCCUAGCUGCCUGAAAACCGGGACCAAGCCCGUUGGUACAACCACAACGCAGAGCUCUCCAGCGCCAGGACGAGGCCCGAGGAGGCCCUGAGGUUUGCAGCCCCAGGCCCCGGGCCCACCCGGGACACCUCUCCCUGAGGAUCCAGGGCCCCAAACAGACAGCAAGUACAAUUCUGGGAACUGUGGAACUUCAUCCUUUCAUUUUAAGAUUCUCCUGCCUUUGCUUGAUGGAACCGUGUCCAAUGGGACAUCACCAAAUGUGACACAAACAAAGAACUGAAAGAAAAAAAAUUGAAAAUUUCUUCUCCUGCUGCUCUUGGGAACCCUCAACCAACCAGGCACGCCUGCUGGAGAGACAAGGCCCAGUGCCACCUGCCAUCAAAACUGACAUCCACCACCGACUGUCAGACAUGUGAAUGAGGCCAUCUUGGACCAAGCAGCCCUCAUCCAACUGUGAACUUUAUGUAGCCACAGAAUUGAGCCCUGGGGAGACCAGCAGAAGAACCAUUCUGCUGAGCCCAGCCCCGAUUGCCCACCCACAUAAUCAUGAAUUAAUAUUAAAUGAUUGUUGUUUUAAAUCACUAAGUUUUUGGCAAUGAUUGUCAUUCACAGAAAGAGCUAACUAACUGAUCCAGUUGGUAAUAGAGGGGAAAGGUCUCUCCCCUGAAGGAAGGGUUAUUUGGCGAGAACUUGUGGGUGUAGGUAGAUGUGUAAUUCUAUGUUUAAACAUGCUUUAUAAUCCUGAGCUCACUUUAUGACUUUAAAAACAUAAAAAUUAACUCUUAUUGGAGGACCUACCAUUAAUUCUCACACAGAAAUGCAUAUUAACAAUCAAGCAUGGGCACAGGAUGACAGUGCUGGCAUGCUCGAAAAUACUGAGGCCUUGGGAAGAAAGCCAAAGAAAAACUAGCUCAGCGAGGAUGCUGAACCAUAGCAUCUGUGUUGAGGUUAUGACUUGCUCUUUGGAAGUGAAAGGAUUCACCUCAGCCUAUUCCCAGCCUGUCUCCAUGAGGUGGGCAUCACUUCAGCAUCUUUUACCCAGGAGCUCACCCCAGGCGUCCUGGUUCCUUGAUGAACAGCUCCUACAAAAUGAGACUCAGUCAAACAAGAUUCUCUUCCUUGCCUGAGGCUUGACUUUUGGGAACCUGCCACUUCUUUGCAUAACUGACUCUAGGUAUGAUUGUCCCUCUCAAGGGAGAACAAGUGCCCUUCCAGAGACAAGACCUUUGCCCCGCAGACCACAGCAGG